UUCCUUCAGAUUUAUCGUUGUGGCAAAGUUGUCUAGUAUUGCUUCAUUAUGUACUGCAGAUAGAAUCUCAUAAUAACAAUUUAGAAAUGCAGUCUGUAAAUAACAAAGCACUCAUUGAGGAGCUUGAUAAAUUGCUUGAGUGCCAGCGUAUUCCUUAUGAGUAUGCAGCAUCUUUGAUUUGUGGUUCCUUCGAUGGAGUGCGGAUGCUUAAGAAUUUUGAAGCAUGUGAAUGAUUAACAGGAAUACAUAUGGAUUUGCGGUGUGGCCUCAACACUUGCAGAGGCCCCUCUUCUGAUUUUGGUGAUUGAAUUCCUGGAGAGGCAGACAUUCUGGCGAUGUGCUCCAUUGCAAUCCUCCAGCUGAGGGAAGUAGUGCCACUUCACCAGUUGCACAGGAUAAACAACCUGAGGAAACUAGUUUACAGGGGCUAGAAUCUGCCCCUGCAUAUGUUUCUGAAUCAUUUCAUUUAUUUAAUUAUGCAGGUAUUACAGGGGCUAGAAUCUGCCACUGUAUGUGUUGAUGAUAUGGAUGAGUGGCCUCGGAUUUUCAAUGCAAGCUCAGGCAUUUGAGAGAGGAUAUUGAAUCGGUAAGCAUGAUGUUUACGACAUUGGAAAAGAUUGCUCAAGCAGACCCAAAAUAUGCUGACAUUUUACUUCUAGAGAAUUAUGCAGCUUUUCAGAACAGCCUUUAUGAUUUGGCCAAUGUAGUACCAACACUUGCAAAGUUCUAUCACCAGGCUAGUGAAUCAUACGAGCAAGCUUGUACGCGCCAUAUCAGCAUGAUCAUUUAUGUUCAAUUUGAAAAAUUAUUCUAGUUUGCUCGGAAAAUAGAAGAUUUGAUGUACACAAUCACACCUGAGGAGGUAAUUAACUGUGAAACA